UCCUACGGGGGGCUGCAGUGGGGAAUAUUGCGCAAUGGGCGAAAGCCUGACGCAGCAACGCCGCGUGCGGGAUGACGGCCUUCGGGUUGUAAACCGCUUUCAGCAGGGACGAAGCAACUCGUGACGGUACCUGCAGAAGAAGCACCGGCCAACUACGUGCCAGCAGCCGCGGUGAUACGUAGGGUGCGAGCGUUGUCCGGAAUUAUUGGGCGUAAAGAGCUUGUAGGCGGUCUAUUGCGUCGAAAGUGAAAACUCAGGGCGCAACCCUGAGCCUGCUCUUGAUACGGGUAGACUAGAGGGAUGUAGGGGAGAACGGAAUUCUUGGUGGAGCGGUGGAAUGCGCAGAUAUCAGGAGGAACACCGGUGGCGAAGGCGGUUCUCUGGACAUUUCCUGACGCUGAGAAGCGAAAGCGUGGGUAGCAAACAGGAUUAGAUACCCUGGUAGUCC
rnacentral:rRNA from 1 species